GGUCCGCUGGCUCAAUGGCAGAGCGUCUGACUACGAUCUUCAGGCCCAGACUUGAGAAGUUAUCAGGAGGCUCCAGGUUCGACCCCUGGGUGGAUCG